GUGAUAGGUGGCAAUGAGUGUAAAUCUAACACUUUCCAUAUAAUUAGCUUUCAUAGUAUAAAUGUAACAUGGUACUGUACUUGUUCAAGUUACUCCUUCUAAAAAGGAAUAAUCAGCCUGUGUUUAAGAGCCAUUGCCAGGUCCUAUGAGUAGCAAGUGUAUAAAGCAUACUCCUUCCCCCUUCUCAUGCACACUCAUCUUGAAAAAAUCUAAAUUGUUCAGCAUUGUAUUCAGACUGCCAAGAGAUAUAGCUGACUCUGACCUGUCCUUCCUGAAAAUGAUGGGUUUACUGAAAACAGUUGGCUGGAACGUUUUCAAAUAAUCAGACAGGAAGGAAGAGGCAUGGACACUUUGUGACUGAGUUUGAUGCAAUACCGUCAGUGAAUGGAGGAACUGGCCUUGACUCUCUUUGGCUCAUUCCAAAUUGCCUUAGCCACCAUGGAUUUGAAAAAAUAACUUCAGCACUAAGAAGUAAGCCUAGUCUAUGACUGAGUCUCUUCUCUUUCUAUGUGUAACAUCUGCAAAGUCUUGCUUGGCUGCAAGCUGACUGAGUGAGCUGUGCAUAACAACCUUUGCAAGAAAAAGUUUGUAGAGGGUGGAAUAGCUUUUCCAAGCAGAAGGUAUGCUGUGCAGAAUGCAUGCUUUUCACAGGAGCAUUUGAACUGUGACCACAGCACCAUUGGAAACCCCGGGCUCUGAUUGGCUACUAUGAAGCCAUAAAAAGCAGAGGGGGAGAAGCUGGAGGAGAUCAACACCAGCCAAGAGAGAUGGGCAGAGACUCAGCACCUAUUUCCACCUCAGGCAGAAGGAUGGAGCUGUGCAAGCAGGAACACAGCACUCGGGUCAAAAAACGCUGCCUACCCCUGGCCUAGAGCUAUUGGUACCUUGAGGAUCCAGAAUCCAGAUAUUGCCCAGUUAUCAUGCUGGCGAAGGUUACAUAUGUAUUGGUAAAGAGACUAGGUUUCUUCAUUGAAAAGAGACAAAGUGUUGCUGCCACUGCUGCUGCUUGCUGCUUUUCCCAAUUUAGGCCACAUAGGUAGCAAUACUUAUCAUUACAGUUGCCCCAAAAUUGCCAUUUUAAGAACCUGUUUUCAAUUUCUUGAGACCUGUCAAAUUUUAACCCAUUAGGCUGGACUUUUCAGUGCUGAGUGUCUGCUUCAGGCUUUGUGUUUUGUCUUUUUUUUUUAAUUCUUUCCUUUGGUUCAACUAUUUCCAAGAAUGAAGACUAGGAAAACUACACUACCUGGCAAAAAAACAUUCCAAAAACAUUUUACUGAAAAGCUCUAGUGUCUUUGUGUUUUGGAACACAGACUUAAAGAUCUUCCUGAUGCUAAAGAUGUACUUCUUGCUGUUCCUCUGAAAAUGUGCCCAACUUACAAGUAUUUGAAAAUCUCAAUUUUGACGUUUGCUUCUCAGAAUUUGACAGCUAAAUUCUCCACAGAUUCCAUCUACAUUAAGUACCCUGCAUUCCAUCACAGCCUCUAUACGUGACUAAGCUGGAAACUCAUCCUCCCUUAGUGGGACUAGAAAUGCUGCACUCAUCCAAGUGCUGCAGAAGCUGAGAACUUACCAAGAGUUGCUGCAGGUUUCUGGUGUUACCAGAAAUCUGGUAAAGACAAACUACGAGCAGAGAGACUCUCUCUUCUGUGUUCUCAAUGAGCAAUGGGUAAUGGGAACAUGAGAGGAAUUGGGAAGACAGGUCAUUGCUUGAAAUAAGAACAGCAGUCAGUGGCAGGAUCUAAGACUGGUGGAAAGAAGCAGAGACUGGAAGUAGGAUAACCGUCAGUGAUGGAAAUGAGCCUGGGCCUGAGGAACAGCAGCAAUGGAGAUGCAAGCAAGACAGGAGCUCAGGACAAGACCAGAGGAGAACAGGGAGAGGCUGCAGUGGACAGAAACAGAAUACUCUCUGAACCUGGAAUAGAACCAAGCCUCAGCAUUCCUGUGCUGUCUAGGAAACCACUGGCAAAGCAUUAGUCUGCUUCUUGCAGUCCACAUAGGAAGGUAAUAAUAGUUGUCUUCUGCUAUCAAUGACUGUCAGCUCAAGUGGUAGUGGACUGGGCAUGAGUCCAAAGUUACUCACCCUGUUGAUGAUCCAUGGGGGAGGGGAAAGUUCUAUAUAGAAUCAUAGAAAAUUAGGUUUGGAAAGGACCUCAGGAGGUCACCUAGUCCAACCCCUUGCUCAAAGCGGGACCAUGCCCAGCUAGAUCAUCCCAGACAAUACUUUGUCUAGCCAUGUCUUAAAAACCUCCAAGGAUGGAGUCCACAACCUCUCUGGGUAACCUGUUCCAGUGUUUUAUUACCCUCCUAGUGAGAAAGUUCUUCCUAAUAUCUAACCUAAACUUCCCUUGCUGCAACUUGAGACCAUUGCUCCUUGUUCUGUCAUCUACCACCACUGAGAACAGUCUCGCUCCAUCAUCUUUGGAACCACUUUUCAGGGAGUUGAAGGCUGCUAUUAAAUCCCCCCUCAGUCUUCUCUUCUGCAGACUAAAUAAUCGCAUUUCCCUCAGCCUGUCCUCAUAAAUCAUGUGCCCCCACCCCUAAAUAAUUUUUGUUGCCCUCAGCUGGAUUCUCUCCAAUUUGUCCACAUCCUUUCUGUAGUGGGGGGCCCAAAACUGAACACAGUACUCCAGAUGUGGCCUCACCAGUGCUGAAUAGAGGGGAAUAACUUCCCUUGACAUGCUGGCAAUACUCCUAUCAAUGCAGCACAGUACAGGUUUCCCUCACUUAAUUCUGUACAUGCGUUCCUGGAAAAUGGCGCAUAACUCAAAUUUGCAUAAAGGGAACCCACUUUACAAGAUAACAAAUAGGGAUACAUUCCAGGACCUUGACUGUACUGACCCCCAGACACAUUUCUUUUUACAAGACACUUUUGGUACUUACCAACAGCAAACAGUACACACAAGCACAGAGUGGUGGUGAAUGUUACCGUAAUGGGAUGGCAACUACAGAAACAUGUUAUAGACAACGAGCAAUGAGCACAUAUCCACACAGGAGACUAUAUUUUGGUGCACAUCAUUUCCACAAUGCACUGCACAAAGCAGCUGACUGCAGGUUUCCACUGCACCGAUCAUGUAAGAGUGAAUUUACAUUGCAUAUAAUGAAUUUUUGGUAUAAAAAGAGUCAUGGCAUAAGAGUAAAUUUGCACAUACAGAAUCCGCAUGAAGUGGGGGAAACCUGUAUGCUGUUAGCUUUCUUUGCAACAAGGGCACACUGUUGGCUCAUAUUCCGCUUAUUGUCCACUGUAACCCUGGGUCCUUUUCCAAAGAGCAGCUGCCCAGCCAGUCAGCCCCCAGCCUGUGUUGGUGCAUGGGAUUGUUCCAUCUUAAGUGCACAACCUUGAACUUGUCCUUUUUGAACCUCAUGAGAUUUCUUUUGGUCCAAUCCUCCAAUUUGUCUAGGUCUCUUGGAAUCCUAACCCUACCCUGUAUUAUAUAAUGCAAUAUAAUAACAUUCUUACUAUGUAAGAAUUAAAAAACUUGGAAACUGCAUCCCAAAAUAGUGUAUUAAAAUAAUAUUUAGGCUACAGUCAAAUAUUGAAAAGAAAAUAUCUCUACCUGUGAAAUCUUAGAUCAGCCCCCUUGUACCUAUGCAUUAUGUUGCAAUCUUUAUUUACAUGAUCCCCUAUUACUUUUUUCCACUCUUUUUCUUUUCAGUCAGCUCUGAGGCGGGGCUUUAGGCAACAGUAGGAAGUCUGCAUUAAUUUCCAUUCUAUGGACUUUAGAUCAAACCUAGAUAGCUUUUCUUCAGAAGGGAAAUAUAUGAUUUCUUGCUACAUAACAUGUGCUGGACAUGGUCCUGCUGGAGAACCAUGGGCUGUGUUGAUCUCCAAACUACUCUUUAUAUAUAAGCUGCUGUAACUCCUAAGCAGUUAUUUGUAUUAUUGAUCACUAUUAUUCUUCUAUGUUAUGGCCCAAAUUAAGAAAAUAUAUUAGUAGUUGCUUAACUUGAAGCACCUGACCACUUCCAUUAACUUCAAUAGAUUUAGAAAUGGACCCUACAAAGUUUUUUCCUAAUAUGAUCUGUUUGUUUUCUCUUGGAUAACUUACUUCCAUGGCACUAUUCAUAUGCUUAAAGCAAAGCAAAUAUGAAGUACCAUAGUUAAAUAAAGUCACAGAUACUGAAGCUAGAAACAUUAUUUAUUAAUCAGACCCAUUAGCACUUUUCACAAACAUUUUGCAGAACUGGGUUUAUGUUAACAUUAUUAAAUACAUUUGUUAAUUCGUUA